GGCUGGUUAGCUCAGUUGGUUAGAGCGUGGUGCUACUAACGCCAAGGUCGCGGGUUCGAUCCCCGUACAGGCCA